AACGAACGCUGGCGGCAUGCCUAACACAUGCAAGUCGAACGAGACCUUCGGGUCUAGUGGCGCACGGGUGCGUAACGCGUGGGAACCUGCCCUUAGGUUCGGAAUAACUCCCCGAAAGGGGUGCUAAUACCGGAUAAUGUCUUCGGACCAAAGAUUUAUCGCCUUUGGAUGGGCCCGCGUUGGAUUAGCUAGUUGGUAGGGUAAAAGCCUACCAAGGCGACGAUCCAUAGCUGGUCUGAGAGGAUGAUCAGCCACACUGGGACUGAGACACGGCCCAGACUCCUACGGGAGGCAGCAGUGGGGAAUAUUGGACAAUGGGCGAAAGCCUGAUCCAGCAAUGCCGCGUGAGUGAUGAAGGACUUAGGGUUGUAAAGAUCUUUUACCCGGGAUGAUAAUGACAGUACCGGGAGAAUAAGCUCCGGCUAACUCCGUG
rnacentral:rRNA from 1 species